UUGAACGCUGGCGGCAUGCCUUACCCAUGCACGUCGAACGGCAGCAUGAUCUAGCUUGCUAGAUUGAUGGCGAGUGGCGAACGGGUGAGUAAUACAUCGGAACGUGCCCUGUAGUGGGGGAUAACUAGUCGAAAGAUUAGCUAAUACCGCAUACGACCUGAGGGUGAAAGUGGGGGACCGCAAGGCCUCAUGCUAUAGGAGCGGCCGAUGUCUGAUUAGCUAGUUGGUGGGGUAAAGGCCCACCAAGGCGACGAUCAGUAGCUGGUCUGAGAGGACGAUCAGCCACACUGGGACUGAGACACGGCCCAGACUCCUACGGGAGGCAGCAGUGGGGAAUUUUGGACAAUGGGGGCAACCCUGAUCCAGCAAUGCCGCGUGUGUGAAGAAGGCCUUCGGGUUGUAAAGCACUUUUGUCCGGAAAGAAAUCGCACUUACUAAUAUUAGGUGUGGAUGACGGUACCGGAAGAAUAAGGACCGGCUAACUACGUG
rnacentral:rRNA from 1 species